CUUCAAGCUUUUUUAGAAAAAAUCCGGUCCACAUCUAUCCUUUGAUUUAAGCUACUUAAAUCUUUUCUCUUCUAUCUCAUACCUGCAUGUUGUGCUCAGAGCUGCAGACCUGUAUUCUUAACUAGCUCAAAUAUGUUUUACUCUUGGGACUGGGGUGCUUGGCUUCUUGCUGCUCACUGGCUCUCAAUGUACCGCAACUGACUACAUCGUCUUCAUGCUCUCCUUGUUUGUAUAGUCAUCUCCUCAAACCAGUCAGAUAAUGUUUGUGGGUCAUUUUUUCUGUUCUGGUCUGUAGCAAUCCUGUAAGCAGAAUAUUCCACCAGAUCAAAAAGACACCUCUCUAAUGACCUGAUGGGAUCCAAAUUCUUCUGUCCUUGCUGAGCAGUGCCAGCGAACCAGCUCCUGAAUGCUACAUCUGAACUGAAAACAUCGCCUCCCACGGAAGCAAUGGCACCAGUGAGUCUGAUAUCAGACAUACAACGAUCUCCACAGCAUUGCAGAAGUAGUGUUUAUUAAACACUAUUAUAAUUCAAGACCAGCAGUGUGAUCUGGUUUGAUGACCAAGGUGCUUCCAUGCUCACUUUCUGACUGGAGAGCUGCUUACAGAAGCUCUAGUCACAGAUCAGGAUUCCACUGUACUGCUGUUGGACAAACUCUGAACCACAAAAGUACCACAUUCAAUCAGCUCAGAGUCUAACAGAGGGGCCAUAGGGCAGGGAAUGGAUACUCAAGAUCUGCUGUCCACCAGAAAGAUUAAAGCUUUGAGGAAUGAGCUUUAUGCUUAACACACAGGGAGAAGACAUCUUGCUGGUCAAGUUCAGAUCUUUGGGUCCUGUGAAUAGAUGCAACUGAACUUUGACAGGGAUGUGGCAAACUUCCCUUUGAUAUAAGAACCUUUCCGUCAAAAAGAUGCUUAAAGUUUGUCUAAAGUAUUCUAGAAGAUGUGUAAAUGAUAAUAAUCCAGAAAAAAAAUACCUCAGAAAGCCUCACAGAGUGAAAAGGAUAAAUAUUCUUUAAGAGUAAUGAAAGGAGAUGGCCAAACUCAACUUAUAUAAAAUCCAUGAAUAAAAUGUAAAAGUUCCUGCUCAGUUAGCACAUGCAGGACAGAGGAGUUGCCAUGACAAAGUGCUGUACAAAAAUAGUCAACUAUACCACAAAAUAUGCUGAAUGUUUAGGAAGCAACCUAGUAAGGUGAACUCCAAAUUACUCUUUCAUUGUGGUUUCUAGAAGACCAAAAAUAGCUAACUGGUACAGUCCUACAACACCAUGUUCUCAUUGUCCUGGAUGAUGGGGUGGUGGGAGGAAGAGGCAAAAUAGCAAGCCUAAACAACACAGUGAAUUAGUUCAAGUAGCGAUCGAGACUGGUUCACUUGGCUAUACUACAGCAGAUAUUUUCUUUAGUAAAGGAUAUGCAGAGCAACAUAGGCAUCACUAGAUCAUAUAGUGAAGAAUCAGACCACUUCUGUAUCUGUGGGUAGCUUUGUUCUUCCUUUAGGAAUAUUUUAGCACAUAUAGAAAGGCAAAUACAAAUAGUAGCCGUUAUCCUCCUUUGCCAGCAUGAAAAAAAAAUGAAGAAAAUCACUUGGAAGGAGAAUAAAAUAAGGAAAAUAGCAGUUCUGAACUUCAGCUCUUGAAGCUAGUUCUCCAGCUUGCAACAUUAGCAUCCCAUCAUUGGAGAUGUGCAGGAAAUGUCUUGGCCCUUUAAAAAGUAUCCAUCAGUAAUGCUAUGAUCUUUCAAAAAUGUUCUAGGGUUAGAAAAGGUGACUGGGUAUAACCCAAAAUUCAAAAAUGAAAAUACAACAUAACACUAUGAAAAUGCUCUAAGUAAUCUAAAGCAGGAAUCAGGUUUGAAAGUAGGAGAAAAUGUUGGUUGAGAAAAAAUUACGUUGAGCUAACAAUAAGGAACGAACACAGAACCUUUCUCAGCAGGCUAAAGACCUAUAAUGUAGUAGUUUGGGAUGAAAUAACUGCAGGGCUGCUCAAAGCAAACAAAUAGAAAACAACGCUAUAAUUCUUCCAUGAAAGUAUGGGAGAAAGAAUCUAUCUAAGAAGUGACAAGCUCAAAGCUAGCCUAUGUUCUCACUGAUCAUUUUUAUGCUCCCCAAUGCUGUCAGAUGUAACAGAUGACAGGUAUCGUUCCUUGUAAGGUUUACUGACUUUUACGAUGCUUUUAACUGAGUAUUUGCAACAGAUGCAGUGAAUUCCUUGCAGAGAGGUAUAAAUACUGUGUACUUUUUAACAGGGUGCCAAAUAUACCGUGAUGCCCAGUUAGGAUCAGACAUAAGCAUGUUCCUCCCCUUUGCUAUCUGAUGUUAUUCCAGAUCAUUAUGAAAAAGACCUCCAGCUUGGAUCCUGAAAUUUUGAGGAAGGACAGAUGGAUACUAAAAAGUCAUAAGAAGUGCUAGUGAGUUUACUUAACUUGAUCCUGAAGUCUAGUAAUUGCUUACAUAAUCACAAUUCAAGAAGCUAAGGUAAAUACAACUUUCGGAAGCUUGCCUGAAUCUAGGACAUUUGGUGUGAUUAGCAUAUGGUGUGAAUCUUUAGUGGCAACGUACUGAGCAUUUUCCUGCAGGGGUCAGAAUAAUGGAAAAGCAGUAAGUAACUAAAGGAAGUGAAGCAGCUGCUAGUAUUUAUGCUUGUGAUGGAUGUUCACAGUAAAACGGUCAGACAGAACAGAGGAUAUCUAUCCAAGGUCUUGACAUGACACUCACAGCUGUGCAAAUAGCACAGAUGGGAAGAUGAUUUAGAGUGGCCAAAUCUUGAAAAUGCCCAAAAACAGGCCCUCGGGCCUUCAAAACAAGAUGUUUUUUUGUGACCUCCCCUCUGGCCCCUCAAGACUAUUAAAGAGGUGCUCCAGAAAGGACUCUUUGCAGCCAUUUCACAGAUUAACAGCUUGAACAAGUGGUUCAGGAUGGGUUGAUGAAAGAUGAUCUCUGCGUGAUGUACCCAAACGUACAAGAAAUUAAUUGGCUUCUAUGAACACUCAGUACAAAGAGCUGUGAAAAUGUCAGCUUGUAUCCUUCUGUGGAUUCUCUUAGAUCUGCAAAAUUCCUAUGGCUUUUCCAAGGAAUUAAUAUUCAAAUGGCAUGCGUAACCAGGUCAGUCUCUUAGGGUGGCUACUGCUAGCAAAGAGUAUUCUCCACUUGCUGAAGUACUACAGCAAACAUGUACAGAUGAACUCUCCCUGAAUAAGUACUUUGAUGAACUAAUGGCAGUUAUAAGAGUACUCUUACUUUGGAUUGUCUUCCUAAAAUAGAUGACUGCACCUUAUUUUUUUCUACCACAACCUUUCUCCUCACCCCACCCUCCAACUAAAGAAACUGUUUAGGGUAACAACUCUGGAACUAAACUCAACUCAAGCUCUAUAGUCAUCCUGAAAGUAAUUAUAAAAAUAUUCCUUAAAUACAAGAAGUGAGGAAACUUGGGAUGCUGCACUCAGGAUUCCAACUGUGGGCAUCAUUUUACAAAACACUCCCCAAAACAUUUCUGGGACUAGCUUAAAACACAGUUAUAGCUGUAUUCUUGUUAUGUAUUUUAGUUAUGUCUAGAUUAGCAAAUAGUCCUGGCAAACGGGAACAAGCGAGAAGUUGAUGCAGAGGUUUCAAUGUCCCAGUCUUCCUUUUUGAGGGCAUCCAGGCUCUCUCUUGUUUGCUUCUAGAGUCUGCAUGCUCGUUAGUGGCUGUGAAGUAUUAUCAGCACUCCUGCAGUGCAUUUCAGGUUUAGUUUCAUCUGAACAGGAUUGGGUGUGUGUAUUCCAAGACAGCUCUGCAGGGCGACUCAAAGCACAGUAAGGGGAGCUCAUUAGAAGGUGUGUUUCAGAAGCGCGCUCUGCCCAUGAGCCAAAACGUCAAGGCAGAGUGCCCUGUUGCAGGCACACCCAGCCUCUCCAGCCUGGCCUGGUUCUGCAAAGAGCUGGACUCAGUGAACCUGCAUUCAACCCAUUUGUAGUUUAUGCACUAGUUACACAUCCCUGAUGCAUGUAAGUCUUAUGUAAAGUAAUUUCUGUAUGGAAAACAAAACAUCGUGAGCUGUUUCCCCUUGUCCCUCCGCUCCCUAAAAGGAAGGGAUCUAGAGUUGCAAAAUUUAGACUUACAUAACUUCUUGAGGUAAAAGCAUAGAUUGAGUAUGCUAAGUUACUUUGAAAAUUACC